rnacentral:rRNA from 1 species
UGGCGAACGGGUGAGUAAGACAUGGGUAAUCUGCCUUUGAGCGGGGGAUAACCAGCCGAAAGGCUGGCUAAUACCCCAUACGCUUCCGGUCCCUCGGGUAAGGAAGGAAAGCUGCAUCGUGGAUGUGGCACUCGAAGAUGGGCUCAUGGCCUAUCAGCUUGUUGGUGGGGUAACGGCCUACCAAGGCUACGACGGGUAGCUGGUCUGAGAGGACGAUCAGCCACACUGGCACUGAGAUACGGGCCAGACUCCUACGGGAGGCAGCAGUGAGGAAUAUUGCGCAAUGGGCGAAAGCCUGACGCAGCGACGCCGCGUGGGGGAAGAAGGUUUUCGGAUUGUAAACCCCUUUUAGGAGGAAAGAUGGGGUGGGUUUCCACCCGGACGGUACCUCCAGAAAAAGCCACGGCUAACUUCGUGCCAGCAGCCGCGGUAAU